GACGAACGCUGGCGGCAUGCCUAACACAUGCAAGUCGAGCGAUUCUCUUCGGAGAAGAGCGGCGGACGGGUGAGUAACGUGUGGGUAACCUGCCCUGUACACACGGAUAACAUACCGAAAGGUAUGCUAAUACGAGAUAAUAUACUUUUAUCGCAUGGUAGAAGUAUCAAAGCUUUUGCGGUACAGGAUGGACCCGCGUCUGAUUAGCUAGUUGGUAAGGUAACGGCUUACCAAGGCGACGAUCAGUAGCCGACCUGAGAGGGUGACCGGCCACAUUGGAACUGAGACACGGUCCAAACUCCUACGGGAGGCAGCAGUGGGGAAUAUUGCACAAUGGGCGAAAGCCUGAUGCAGCAACGCCGCGUGAGCGAUGAAGGCCUUCGGGUCGUAAAGCUCUGUCCUCAAGGAAGAUAAUGACGGUACUUGAGGAGGAAGCCCCGGCUAACUACGUGCCAGCCGCCGCAGUAAUAC
rnacentral:rRNA from 1 species